UAAAAAUGGAUUAUAAUAUCAUGCAAUCAAUAAAAAAAAAGAAAGAAAAAACUAUUAGAGGAAACAAAAACAAUUCAGAAGCUCUACAUGGUGGUUUGUAAUGGAUCUGACAAUCUAGUGGCUACUUCAGUAGCAUAAACACAUUCCAGGAUGCAUUAUGCUUUAUAUUGUAUGUGUUAAAAUAUUUAGUAACUACAUUGCAAUAAACAUUGUUUUGAUCUCAAAGUGCACCAUAUUUUAAAGUCUGUUGUACUCCAGGAAGAAUUAUAUUCUCCAGCCUCCUUUAUAAAAGCCACAAUCUAUGAUGUUCUUGAUGUGCACGGACUACACAGUAUGAUGACAUUCUUCAAGAGGCCUUUAAUGAAUUAAUGCCUCUCCAAAUGGUUUUAAGCUUACAAAAGAAGAUGUGUGCAUGGUCCUAAACCAUUUGGAGCCAUUUUAUUCAGUGCCUAUUGAUUUUAGUGCCAGUAAACCUCCCUGCUGCCUGCCUCUGAUGAGUAUUAGAUUAUAUCCUCUGUAGCACACAAUGGGAUUUAGCGGCGCCAAAAAUGUAAUUUCAGCACAAAAUACAGAAGUCAUUAUAACAUCAACUCUCUUUUUUCUUCCAAAUUUCAGGUACUGAAGAUCUAACUUCUGAAGAAACUGGUGUUAUUUCUCUGAAGUGAUUUCAGAGAACUUACUCCUCCAUCUUUAAACUUAUCAGUGGGGCUGAAAUGGGCUUAAAAGUAAGGAAUGAAAAGUAGGUGGGUUUUUUUCCCCUUCAAACAGCCUUUAUAUGGAGCCAUCACUCUAAUAUUGGUAAUGGCACACAAGGAUGUUUGUCUCUGUGCUUAUUAUAUGUUUUUAGUAAGAAAUUCUCUCUCUUCCCCCCUCAAGGCAAGCCAGUCAAGGUGCUCUGGUCAGCAGAGCCAGAAAUGCCAUGCCAUGCCCAACACACACAGAUAUUUAUGCUAUUCUAGAACCUCCCCAGUGCCUGCCAGCAGAAGCCUUUUCCCUUCCCUUUAGUUGCUGCUAAAAGUGAAGAUGCACCUCAUUUCCUCAAUUAGUGCUGCAUCUUCUUCAGCUGUGGCUGAGCAGAGGGAGGACACAGCCAGCAUCCAACCUCCCAAAAAGUGCUGCUGUGGGGCUGGGGUGUCCCCAGCUCUGAAAUUACAUGGUUUUCCCACUGUGUCAGCCCUCAUGGAAACAACUUUGAUCGUUUCCAGCAGUAAGAAGAGAUAAAAAGAGGGAUCUCAGAAACAGAAGCCACAGGCAAAGUAGUUCUGUGCCAUGGGAACAGACAUGGAUACAAGACCCAUGGAGAUAAGGGGUCUGUGGGAAAUGGAAAUAUCAUCCCUUUGAUCUGCUCUCCUGAUGGAGUACCUGACCAGGAAGGAAAGCUGGUGUGAAUUCACCAGCCAAAGAGCCUCCCCAGUGACAGACUGAUCCCUGUGGAUGAGUUUCAUCCCCACUCAGCAUCCCAGGAUGGAGGUGUCCAGGAACGGGCAGCCAGGAAGGUAUUAGAGGAAAACGACAUUUCCAGAGUCAUUCUCCAGUGUUGGUCCUGAGUGAAAAGCACUAAUCGCUUGGAGAAGCGAAGGUUGCACCUGACUCUGGGAAUUUGUCCUCCCCCUUUUGCUUUUGGAGCCUCAGCAGUUCUUACCACAGAGCAGCACAGAUUAUCCCAGAAAUGCAUCACCUCAUCAGUCUUACUUAAGACUAAGCUCCUGGUGGCACCUUUUUGCUUCAUCUGGCCCAAGCUGUUUGUCCUUUGCAGUGCUCCAAAGCCUGGUGGCUGCCUGCUCUCCAUCACAGCGUGUCAGGAUAUGAUGUCUCACUGCUGCUGUGCCUCCUCCAGCCUCCCAUCACCAAAAUCCUCCGUGGGGCUUUCUCCCAGGCUGGAGUCUGUCCCUGAUGCAUCCUCAGGCUUGUUCCUAACAGGGUUCUGCUGGGAAUUGCAGUGGUGGCACAAUGUGAAGGUUGAUAGAUGCAAAUGGAAAGAGUAGAGGGGUGAAUUUACCAUCCAAGCAUCAGUGAGCUCCCUACAGCUGCUCUUGCUGGACUGUGUAAGUUUAAGCCCCUUGAAAAUACAGUUGUCUUGAAUCUCCUGACUUAGAGGGCAACAGUUCUCAUUCCUCCUUAGAACUUGUUUUCCAGCAAAGCUCAUCACUGCUGAUGCUUAUUCCCCCUCCCCCUGGAAAAGCACCUCCUGGACCCACUGCUGUGGUGGUGCCACAGCUGAAGGAGCCCCAAGGACUCUGUGGUUCCCUGGAAUUGUGCAGAAAUUGCUCCUGACACACAAAUAAUGCCCCAUUUCUCUGCACAAUGGCCCCAUGCAUGCAGUGGCCUCACAGAGAACAACAGAUGACUGUAGCUUCAGAGCAGAUGUGCAUGUUGUCCAUGUCAGGGGUUUUGCAAUGGAGAUCUGGAAAGGGAGGGGGAAAGGCAGAGCUUUUGUGAGAAAGUACAAGAAGCCUGGUUAAAAAAAACCAACUACACAAUGUAGAGAAAAAAAUAGCUCUGGUAUCUUCAUGUGGCAGGCUUUGAGAACGUUGCUGAUUCAGGGCUGUCUGAAAUCUGUCAGAAAAUAACCCUUUCUGUAUUUGAAAGGCAGAGCAGAGCCUGACUUUUAAGGUACAAAAUUGCUCCUGGAUUUGCAAAGAAGACAGUAAGGAACAAUUUCUAUUGCCUCUGGGAGAAAGUAUCAAGGGCUUUUCUCCCUUUGCACAGCUCCUCAAAGCCUGGAAAAUGAAAGAUAGCGACCUGAACUUUCUUGGUUUAGUUCUGCAUGAACUAUAUUAAGUCAUGGCACUGUGGAUAUGGACUGUCCUGAAUGACAGCAACCAAAGUAGGCACCUGGGAAUAGACUUUUUUCACACUUAAACCCUGUGCUGGUGUUUCUCUGUUGGGUCUUGAGGCUGGUACAUCUGAGUUUGGGAUCAAUAGCCUGGCUUUCUUGGACACACUGCAAGAGACAGUAUGGAAGAAGCAGCAGCCAAAAUAGCAACAACAGAAGUUGCAGCAGGCAGAUUAGUGGCUGCAGCAGGCUCUGAUCAAGCUGUUCUCCUUCUGUCAGCAUUUUGAGUGUUUAUUGUUCAACACUCCAAAGUGCUGCUGGUUGCAGUGAGAAGGGAUAAAGGACAGCACAAAGCCCCUGUAGGAAUGCACGAGCCCUCCCGGCUGCCCCGUGCCAGAGCUGGAUGCCUCCCCUCCCCUUCAUUCACAGCCCACCUGACUCCUGUGCAAGUCACACAUCCUGAGGAAACAGCUGAUUUUUCUCUCCAAUAACUUGGUUAUAAGCCCGAGGCCUGGAGACAAGAAAGGUUCUGCCACUGAAGCACCCUUCUGCCCCUGCCCCCUGCCUUUCUCAAUCUGUUGGCCAAUGUCAACAAACUUUGACAGGGUCUUGUUUAGGCUGAGACCCCUUGUGCGAGGACACGAGGCUCGACUCCAUUUUCAUCAGAAGGCUGAUUUAUUAUGUUAUAUAUUAUAUUAAAAUACUACAUUACAACUAUACUAAAAGAACAGAGAGAAGAAGAUCAGAAGGCUACCAAGACAAGAAUAGAAUAGGAAUGAAUAACAAAAAUCCUGUGACUGCUCACAGCCUUGGCACGGGUGGCUGUGAGUGGUCACCAAUUGAAAACAAUCCACAAGGACCAAUGGAAGAUGCACCUGUGGCAUUCCACAGCAGCAGAUAGUUAUCGUUUACAUUUCUUUCCUGAGGCCCUCAGCUCCUCAGGACAGGAAAAAUCCUAGCAGAGGAUUUUUCACUAAAAUAUCAUGGCUACAGUCAGGGAGCUAUGAAAUUCCUGCAAGUUUCAUGAAAGCAGGAGACUGCAUUGAGGGUGGUGGGCUGAGUCAAUGCCCACACAAAUGUAUGCCCCCACAAAGCUCCUGGCUGCUGUGUGUCCUGAGCUUUGUCCAAAAGGCAGAGCACAUGAUCAGAGCAUCACCACGGAAUGCUGAGGGGGGAAAAGUACAGAGGACAUGAAGGUGAUCAGGAGACACCCCAGGGAAGGAGGUUCUGUGUAGAAGGUGCUGUAGGAGGAGAUCUGAUGUCUUUCUGUGG